UUUCCGUAGGUGAACCUGCGGAAGGAUCAUUACAAAAACAAAAUCCACACACCUAAUGUGCACUUUGUGAAAGAUUUGCGAGGGCAAAGAAAAUAACCCCCUCGCAGAUGUCUUUUUCUUUUUUCCAACUCCUUGUUUAACCACAACAAAGGAUAACAAUGUAUAAAACUUGAACCAAAAAAACAAAUAACAAAAGAAAUGACAACUUUUAACGGUGGAUCUCUUGGCUCGU
rnacentral:misc_RNA from 1 species